GGGGGCGUAGCUCAGCUGGGAGAGCGUCGCGUUCGCAAUGCGAAGGUCAGGAGUUCGAUCCUCCUCGUCUCCACCA
rnacentral:tRNA from 18 species